CCCGCAGUGUCCACGAGGCCAGUUUCUGCACCAUGAACACAAAUAUCCGGAGAGGCGAAGUGAGUAUUUGAAUGCCCUCACUUUAUGGAUGAGGAAACUGAGUCACAGAAGGUAUGGAACUUGUCCAGGGCUUCAUAGCUGGUAAGGAAGGAGCCAGGAUUAGAAGCUCUAAUCACUAGUCUACACCACCUGUGCAGCUAGGGUUGCAGGGAAAGGAAGGAACAGAAGCAUCUAGAACCUGGAGAGGAUGGAUAAGUAGGAGGGGACAGAUUUGAUGUGAAGUUGGAGAACACCCAAAGGAGAGAGAAGAAAUUGUUCACAGAACUGAGAAAUCCUGGAGGAGACUGAGCUGGUCUUUUCCAGUGUACUCAGACACAUCUAAUGUGAUAAGAAGGGAGCCUGAGGGGAUAACGGACAAUUCUGGCCAUGGUUGAAUAGAGAACAAGGUGAGCUUCUGAGAGUAGGGCAAACCAAGGCAGGUUAGGGGGCAUUUGAGAUGUUGGAAUAGGUUCGGUCAAGCCUGUAAGAGUUGAUUGAAGGUUGGCCAAGUAGCCGUGGAUGGGUCGGGUGAAUGGGAGUGACUCAGCACAGUGUGGU
rnacentral:lncRNA from 1 species